rnacentral:lncRNA from 1 species
CAUUAAGAGAAGGUAUAAUUAAUCUUUGGUCACAAAUUUAAAACCCACAGCUUGCUAAUUAGCAUUGAAGGUGUGCUGAACGAUGUGAGUGACAGGCUGUCCAUGAUCAAACAGCACAAACCUCUCAAGUUUGUCGCACUCUGGGGUUUUAUGCACAUUAAAAGAAACAUGGACCAAGUGAUUCUUAUAAAAGGUUACUUCACUUACCACACCAAGAGAAAGGUUGUAAGGUAGUAGGCAGUAUUCAAAAGCCCAUAGGAUAAUA